rnacentral:lncRNA from 1 species
CUCCCGCGCAAUCCGGCGCCAUCGCGCUUUGGGCGAGCAUGGCCAUGGGGAGUAGAGAGGUGGAAACCGAGCUGACGCCUGCCUGACCCUGGCGAUGGUGGCGCGCGCCGGGAAGGACUGAUUGGAGAAUGGCGCCAAAUGGCUCUUUUGUAGGUCACGGAUGGCGAGGGGGCACAGGAGCUCUCGAUGUGACCUGGCGCUGUGGAUGUGAUGCACAGCAGCUUGAGUGGGACUGCUCCGCUGUCCUCAUGAGAGAACGCUUUUUCUGAAGAUGGGAGGUGGCUAAUGAAAGAAGGCC